CUUUCUCUUUCUCUUCCUCUUCCUCUUCCUCUUCCUCUUCCUCUUCCUCUUCCUCUUCCUCUUCCUCUUCCUCUUCCUCUUCCUCUUUGUAAAGGAAGACCUUACCUAGGAAUUCCACUAGGAAGAUGGGGAGGGAGAGCAACAGCAUGAAAAGAUCAAGUGUUCCAGCAAACAGAUAUCUUGCUGGGAACAUUGCAUAUAAAACCUGCAGGAAUGCAGCUUAGGAGCCUCUUGGCCAGUGAUGUCAAGCUGCAGGAAGGUAGAGCAGGUUUGGUCAGAGGUUCCUACUGCACUCCUUGCAUCAAGGACCAUGGCAUCUGCGUUUAUCUCUCCCAAUACUUCAGUGAAAACUAUCUCUAUUGCCUCCGGAAGUUAAAUUGCAUUUGCUGUGCUGCAAGCAAGGUGGUAGUUUUGAAGAAAUUUCACUAUCAUCUUUUACAUGGAGACUCAUUAAUUUCUGUGAUGUGCUAAAUCUGCUCACUUGGUUGAUGAGAGAUGGAUCAUUUUGCCUUGCCUAUGAAAAAGCAAAAAUAAGAUAGGAAACACAAUGUCCACACUUGGGACAGCUGGCUUUGUGCAUGGAAGAGUCAAGAAGCCUGAGUCUUCCAGAUUGCAUUUACUUUGAAGAGUCAAAUCUCUGAGUUUGAUUUGAGUCAAAAAUGAACAGAGCCUCCAGCCUAAACUAAGCCUGUAUUGGUGAGCUGCUCUCUGUACAGAUGAAGAGCUUCUGCUGUAUUUUCCCUCUUGCAGGGAGAGGUCUGCUGUGGGGUCAGAUGAACAGCCAGAGCUGAUGCAAGGGAAGAGUUUGCAAGAAGGCUGGGAAAACCAGGGAUUGAAUUUUCAGUAUCUGUUCAAUCAGUUUACCAGUAACAUGAAGCUUCAUUUUACACCCAUCUCACCGAGCAGCUGAACUUCAGCCAGACCACUCCAUAGGCACGUUAUGUUCAAGAUCUGAAGGACAUCCCAUUUUCAUGUGUCCCAUUUAAAUACAAGCUCACUGCUGUUAGGCUUGUGGGCAGAAAGUUACUCUUCCAAAGAAUGCAGUGUAUUGCUUCAGUUAUGGCCCAAAAACAAGGAGCAAUGAACCAGAACCCAGAAGAAAACUCAAGCACCAGGUAUAGGAAAAUGGUUAAGUUUGAAAAUGGACUGCCAAAGGUAUAGGUGUGCACUGCAGUGUUUGGUGAAGAAUUGGUCAGAAAACACUGGACAUGAGUUUACAGUAUCAUUUGGGCACAAAAGAACAAUUAGCUCUGGAAGAGAAAAAAUAACAGAGAUGCUGAGCCUCCUCACCUGUUUUUUAGGGCUGCAGGCAGUUGUCUGCACCUCUGGCAGGGAUUCUGCCCUGCCAUUAAUCCAAACAAGUGGGAUGUUCAGUGGAAAAGGAUGGGACAUGACGCAGGAAAUUGCUGGAUGUGACAGAUAACCAUGUGAGGAGCUGGCAGAAGUUAGAGGUAGCACCAAGAGGGAUGGAUGGAUGGAUGGAUGGAUGGAUGGAUGGAUGGAUGGAUGGAUGGGUUUUAGGGGUGGCUAAGCAGGAUAUGCAUGAGGAAUGGUCAGCUGUCACAGAUCACCAAGCUGAGGAGUGCUGGGACCUUCCUGUCCAUAGUCCUGCAAGGCCACCAGUGCCUAGGUAACUGCAUCAGUAAUAGUUUAUUUGGGCAUAGAUGUGACAAAACUGGCAGCCAUGGGAAGAUAAAAAGGCUGCUGUUUAUUUGGGGAGAGGCUGCAGCAGGCAGGUGGAGUUGAGAGGAUGGCAGAAAGGAGGGACAGGGGAUAACAAAGUGCACAGACACUGUGAGCUGUCUGGGGGAUACUUGAUGGCCAGUCCUGCUCCAGCAAGAUAAACCUGCUCUUCUGACCAUAUCACAGGGGCCAAAGCUGGGGCUGUGAGCUCCAGGCUGAGGGAUGGUGUGCUCCUCUGAUCCCACAAGGGAUGGCUGGGUGACCCCAAGUGGCAUCCCAAUGUCCCUGUGCCCAUGCCCACUCCAGCCUCGAGGGCACUGGCAGCUGUCACUUUAGACAGCUAAUACUGUCAGGGACAGUCCCUGGGCACCUUACCUGGCACAGUAACAGGUGAACCCACUGGCCUCAAACUGCAGACUGACAUUUUGUCCCAAGAUAUUUAUGAAUAAAAAUUAGUAAUCUUCUUUCAAGUGAAAACAUAGUUGAGAUUGUUCUGUAAAACUAACUACAGUCUAUCAGAAAAGAAAAAAUAACUUAUAAAAGUUUGUUGGGAAAAAAGCAUUUAUUAUUUUCAUGGGAUGAAGGGGGUUACUUAGGGACAGGAGUGCAGCAGGUUAAUUUCUCAGUCUUCUUACACUGAUCAAGUGGGAAUGCUUGGAGGGCUAAUCAUAAAUAAUCAUAAUCAUAUCCUGCCUAGAUGGAUAUGGAUUUAAACAUAGAUGCAGUUGCUUGAAAAUUAUUCUAUAAAGAUACUGAAGGCAAGGAGGGGAUAUGUGAAAUUAACAGCAGAAUGGGCUAAUUAAGAUCUUCAGAUAUGUGCUUAAAACUGGGUUAUUAUGUAGAAUGUUGCUUACUUCAACGUGCCUUUAAAAAACGCUGUUUUCUUGAGUAUUUUUGUUGUUGUUGUUUACUUUAGCUUAGCCCCAGCCCCCAGCCCUUCUGUUUUGACCUCUCAGGGACACAGAGGUGUACAGGGCAGUUCUGAGCCAGUGAACUGUGGCUGGAGAAUGCUGAGCCCACACUGCAGUUUCCUGGUCCUGCUGCCUUUGACGUUGUUUUACUGAGGAAGCCUCUGGGAACACAUUGGCACUGAAUAACGUUGAAAAGGAAAAAAUACUUUGAAAGCAGCUUUUUGCUGUUGUUGUUGUUGUCUUAAGGGUCACUGGGAGAGUCUCAGUCCAUGCAUUCUGAGCAUUGCCUCCUGAGCAAGCCUGAGUUAAAAGCUUGAUUGGUUAAAUACUCCUCACAUUUUUUCCUGAAAAUAUGCUGUCUCUCUUGUAGUUUCCCAUUUCACCCAAGGGUCUCUUGGCUAACUCAUGAAUUUGUUUAAUAGAAGCCAUAGGAAAGCUGGAAGAAAGUGGACAAAAAAGCUGCAAAAAAGGAAAAAAAAAAAGCUGUGGCAAAGGAAAGGAAAUGAAAUGCUGCGUCUCUACAUCAGCAUUUCCACAUGGAAGGACAAAAGCAGUUUAGUGUACCAACAUGAGAUGAUCUUGCUUUAAUGGGAGACAUAUCUGUGAAAGCUUGAAGAAUAACAGGUGCAUUUCAGUGUCUGACUGUCCAGUGAUUGACUUCUGAGUAAAGGAUAAAUAUUUGAGGAUUUUAAGGGUUUGAAUUUAGCCUCAGGCCUUCUCAGCUUCACAGAAAAAUGAUGCUGAAGCAGCAGUUAGGUUUCUGCAGAUCAGGUAUACUGAAAUAUGCAACUGAAUAUAUGGAUUUGUAUCACCCAGUUGGAGUUCUGAGCACAAAGAGAAGAUCACAUUAAAUGAGAGGUGAUCAAGAAAGAUCAGAAAGACACAGAUAUCUGCUGAAGCUCAAGGCCAUUUCAACUCAGGGGGUUCUGCAGCUAUGAAUGUGGAGAGUUAUACACUAAGAAAAAAGAAUAUUUCUCAGUCUACAACCUCUUGGGAAUUUCCUGAGCUGUGUUUUGUCUUUGAGAGCUUCCCUCAUACUGAAAUGAGGCUUCUCCUCAGCCUUUACUAUAGCAGUCAGCAUUGAAAAGCACCUUGGAAAAGCACCAAGAUUCUCAAAAUAACUAAGUGCCUAACUUGUCUAUAAAUCUUUGGGAGAUAGAUUCCCAAAUAGUUAGUCCUUAUAUAGUCACCUUUUUGAGAGGGAUAGAGAAGACUUGUAGAACACUAAUCCAUCCAAAUGAAAACUUUUCAUUUUUUUGCAGGAGUCAGGAAAAAUCAUGCAGGUAAUCCUCAAGGCAUGUUGAGCAAGAGUUCAGAAAAUGUGAAGUGCAGUAAGAAAAUUCCAAGAUGUAUUAUUAUAUGAGCAAAGGCCAGUGAUGUUUGUGCCAUAAAUUAUAUAGAUCAAAGAAAAACCUUGUUUAUCAUAUCUUAUACAUAUAUUUAAGUGGCUUUGCAUCAAAACCUCCCCAAAUAUUUAAAAACUUGAAUUGCUCCUGGGUUCCCUUACAGUCCCCAGGACCUGACAGAAAUCUUUCCAAAAGUGUAAUUUGGUAAGAAAUGCAAGAAACAAACCCACAGAAAAUGUGAUGUGAAAGUUUUACAUUAAGAGGAUAAUAAUUAUGUUGAGUAAUAUCCACAGUCUGUUAGACACUUCAGUAGAUUCUUCAUAAGAAGGAAAGCCUUAGCUGCAAGAAGCUCACAAUCUCAUGACUGCAUAUUCAACCUUAAUGUUUUAUUUAUUCCCUUUGUUUUGAGUCUUACUGUGAGUUUAAACAUUUUCUCAGCAUAGUUGGAGGUUUGGGGUUUGCAAUACAUAAAUAUGAAUUUGAACUAUAAUAGGGCUUUUAGUCUAAAUGCUUUUAUCUCAGAUAUUCAAUAAUUAUUACUCUAUAAAUAAAUAUCACAGUGCUAGAUAUAUACAAGCAAUUCAAUCUGAACUGUUAAUCUGUGGUCUUAGCUAAUUAAAAUUUCCCUGGCCAAACUAUGCCUUGAGUAUAUUCAAAUCUGCAAAAAAAUGAAUAAAAAAGAACAGAAUAUUAAUAAUUUGGGGGCCUGUUUUGCCAAGGUGCUGACUCUGAGAAGCUGACCACACUGGAAAUUUGGGAAUCAGAGCAGACUUGGUAGGAAUUCUGUAAUGCUAAAGGGGAAAAACAUUGGUUAUGCUGCUAUUUCAUAGUGUUGAAUACAAAACUGUCCUCUGGGGUGUUGUUAAGUUGAAGACAAACUCAUCCACAUCUCUGCUGCAGCUCCAGUGUGUUCCAGCAGGGAACAUACCUUUUGGUUCAGGAUCUCUGCCUUUUUGUCUUUGCUGCUUAGUCUAGGGAUGACAGCACGUGUUGAAGCAUUGCAAUAAUGUGGCUCACGCUGUCUCCUGCUGAUGUGAGCCUCAUGUCUGGUUUCAUCUGCUCUCAGGUCUCAUGUGAGAGCUGGGUCAGCACACAGAGCAGUGUGCUGCCACCAUGGGGAGCAAACACAGAGCUCAGUGCAGCUGGUACAGCCCACUGGCAACAGCAGCCUGCAGAGCACAGAGCAAGCCCUGAGCAUGACAGCCUGCUAGCCAUCCCUGGCACUCCACACAAGAGGUGGCCCCCAGCUCUAACCCUGCUUUGAGUCCCCUAACAAGCUCUUUGCAAUAGAUUGAGGCAGUUCUGUUAGUGAUUCUAAACAUUUCCCAGUGGGGAGUUUCCUUCUCCACUGUGUGUUUUGGUCAAAUUGACAGGCUUAAAAGUUGUGUCUGCACUGCAGGCAUUAAAAAAAUUCUGGCAGUCCAGGCAUGUGCUGUUUCACCAUCCAUUUCACCUUGUGUUGGUGCAGGCUCUUCCUUUGCCAGCCUCAGUGACAUAUUUUGAACUCUCAAGUGCAUCAUCAGAAAAUCCCUUACUUAUAUUUGAUAGUGAGGGACAAAAUCAUAGAAUCAAUGGAUCACUUAGUCCAGCUCCACUUCAGUAAUCAGGGACAUCUUCAACUGAAUCAGGUUACUCAGAGGCCUGUCCAACCUGAUCCUGAAUGUUUCCAGGGAGGUGGAAUCUAUCACCUCUCUGGGACACUUGUUCCAGAAUUUGAUCACCUUCAUGAUGAAGACUUUUUUCCUAAUGUCUAAUCUAAUCCUUUUGCAGUUUAAAGCCAGCCCCUCUUGCUCUGUCACUGCAUGCCAUUGCAAAAAGUGCCUCUCCAGCUCUCCUGCAAGCCUCCUUUAGGUACUGGAAGGCUGCUCUAAAUCUCCUUGGAGCCUUCUCCAGGCUGAACAACUCAGACUGUCUGUAUGGGACAGGUUCUCUAGCUCUGUGAUCAUCUUCAUGGCCUCCUGUGGACUCUCUCCAGCAGGUCCAUGAUCUCCUUGAGCUGGAUGCAGCCCUGCAGUUAUGGACCCAUAGCAGCAGAGUAGGGGAGGAGAAUCCCUCACAUCCCUCAGCCUGCUGGCCACACUCCUCUUGAUGUAGCCCAGGACACAGCUGGCUUUCUGAGCUGCAUGGCAGAGCUUCAUCAACUAACACCCCAAAUCCUUCUCUCUCAGGUCUCUCUCCAUUCACUGCCCAGACUGUAUUUGUGCUUGGGAGGAGUUCAUCUCUUAGCUUAAUUUGCUUUAGUGCACCUGGUGUAUCCCCAGGCUUGUCUGGGUAUACAGGCACAGCAGGUGAUUUAGAAGUGGAUUGCCUCCAUUUUUAAUAAGAACUCUUUUUAUGCAGGGCUUAAAUAAAGCAGUUUAUCCUGGUAAAAACAGGGAUAGACAUUAUUUCUUGUAUUGACAGGUAACAUACUUUGAACAAGAUAUAUGAAAACACUCCGUAUCUUUCACUCCUCCACGGCAGGAAAAGUUCAUGCUUUUAAGAAAUUAUAAAUCAGAGGUUUAUAAAAUGGUUGGAAUAUUGAAUUUACAGAUAUAUGACAACUGUUUUUUCCUUUUUAUUCCCCAUGCAGUGUAUUUCCAAAUAAUCAUUACAUUGUUUUAAUUUCAUUAUAUUUCGUCAAAAAAUUUACAAUUAAAAGAAUAAAAAAACCCAAAAGGCUAAUAUACAAAACUCUGUGACUAAAAAAACACAAGUCCUAAGAAGUGAUGUGACUUAUCUGACACAUUUUUCAUAAGAAAAUCAAAAGAACAAAAUUGUCAAACUGAAAUGUUCAGAACUGUAAAUUAUACCUGCUAACACAAUAAACAGUGCUUUCUAAUACUGCAUAUCUUUUUCAGAACAGGGCCCCACUAAUUUGGUGCACAGCACAAUCUCAGAAGGUAAAUAUGCAGUAUAAAGAGAAAUGGCCAUGCUCAUCUGGCUUGCAUAAAAAUCUAUGUAGAAUCUACACUUACAGCAAAGUGAUACAGCACACCUUCUUAGCAAGAUGCUUAAAGCAGUAUUGGCAUA